CCUACGGGUGGCUGCAGUGAGGAAUAUUGGUCAAUGGACGAGAGCCUGAACCAGCCAAGUAGCGUGAAGGAUGACUGCCCUACGGGUUGUAAACUUCUUUUAUAAAGGAAUAAAGUGAGGCACGUGUGCCUUUUUGUAUGUACUUUAUGAAUAAGGAUCGGCUAACUCCGUGCCAGCAGCCGCGGUAAUACGGAGGAUCCGAGCGUUAUCCGGAUUUCUUGGGUUUAAAGGGAGCGUAGAUGGGUUGUUAAGUCAGUUGUGAAAGUUUGCGGCUCAACCGUAAAAUUGCAAUUGAUACUGGCAGUCUUGAGUACAGUUGAGGUGAGCGGAAUUCGGGGUGUAGCGGUGAAAUGCUUAGAUAUCACGAAGAACUCCGAUUGCGAAGGCAGCUUACUAAACUGCAACUGACAUUGAUGCUCGAAAGUGUGGGUAUCAAACAGGAUUAGAUACCCUUGUAGUC
rnacentral:rRNA from 1 species